CUCGAUGAGUAGGGCGGGACACGUGGUAUCCUGUCUGAAUAUGGGGGGACCAUCCUCCAAGGCUAAAUACUCCUGACUGACCGAUAGUGAACCAGUACCGUGAGGGAAAGGCGAAAAGAACCCCGGCGAGGGGAGUGAAAAAGAACCUGAAACCGUGUACGUACAAGCAGUGGGAGCACGCUUAGGCGUGUGACUGCGUACCUUUUGUAUAAUGGGUCAGCGACUUAUAUUCUGUAGCAAGGUUAACCGAAUAGGGGAGCCGAAGGGAAACCGAGUCUUAACUGGGCGUUAAGUUGCAGGGUAUAGACCCGAAACCCGGUGAUCUAGCCAUGGGCAGGUUGAAGGUUGGGUAACACUAACUGGAGGACCGAACCGACUAAUGUUGAAAAAUUAGCGGAUGACUUGUGGCUGGGGGUGAAAGGCCAAUCAAACCGGGAGAUAGCUGGUUCUCCCCGAAAGCUAUUUAGGUAGCGCCUCGUGAAUUCAUCUCCGGGGGUAGAGCACUGUUUCGGCAAGGGGGUCAUCCCGACUUACCAACCCGAUGCAAACUGCGAAUACCGGAGAAUGUUAUCACGGGAGACACACGGCGGGUGCUAACGUCCGUCGUGAAGAGGGAAACAACCCAGACCGCCAGCUAAGGUCCCAAAGUCAUGGUUAAGUGGGAAACGAUGUGGGAAGGCCCAGACAGCCAGGAUGUUGGCUUAGAAGCAGCCAUCAUUUAAAGAAAGCGUAAUAGCUCACUGGUCGAGUCGGCCUGCGCGGAAGAUGUAACGGGGCUAAACCAUGCAC
rnacentral:rRNA from 1 species